GGCGGGGAAGUUGGGGCGAUGAGGUCAUUAGAGUGGUGACCGAUCGGUGCACGCGCGCCUCCCCGGCUCCUUGCAACCUAGUUGGAGGGGACAGGGUGAGUGCAGGGUGCAACUCCCGCAACCGGGAGGACUCACCGCAACGAAUGUCAGGCUUCGGCUCCCACCUAGUAAAAUAACCAAGGAUGCAGGGAAGUCCGCUGAUUCUAAUCCCGAAGUGACCUUGGUGCCCCCACCCCCCACCCCGGUGCGCGUCUAAGAGGACUCGCUGUAUCCUCGCUGUUAACCCUCCAGCCUGUGAGCCCUGAGCAACCCGACUCCGGGCCCGCGCCUUGACUUGCAACUCGGGAAAGUUGUCAGGCUUCCUCAGUUUGCACUGGCGCCCUCACCUUUCCUGCCGGGACAAGCUGGCGACCUCCCGGCGGCCCUCCUUUCUAAUUCUGCAGGUCUGGAAAUCUGCAGUAGGAAUUGAACGUCUCAGCUCUAGCCCUGGUAGCCGACCUGCUCACUCCUCUCGCAGCUAACUGGGGAUCAUUCAUUUCAUCGGAAGUGAGAGAAAAAAAGGAGCCACACAACAUCACCGGAAGAGGAGAAAAAGAAUACAAGGUGAUCAGAUGUGAUGCUGGCAGGACUGGACGCGGGGACUACAGGAAUCGGCAUCGGUGGGGAAUCCUGUGAGAACUUCAGAACCUUGUCCAGGGACUCAAAUAUACCCAAUCGGAGCCUGCAUUUCAACAAGAGUUCCAGGAAUUCUUGUGCAUGGUUGUGCCAGGGCCAGAACUGAUUGAUAUCACUAGCCUUGGGCAUGUUCAUAGAGGAAACUGGUUUGGCUGCCGAGGGACCUGGCAAUCCCAUACCCUAGGUGACUCCCACUUUCCGUGUUCUCUCUAGCACCCUGGAGAAAGCCUGUAGUACUAUCUGUCUUAGUUCUCUGUUCUCGAGACCCUGUGGACCUCUACUAUCUUGGCCUGAGACUUGCUUCUCUUCAAACUGCUGAGAUUCCUGUAGAAAGCGGAUGUGACCUCCCCCUCCUUUAGGGAGAGGCCAGCCAUGUCUGAACUGAUAACCUGAAGCAAUGCCUGACUAUGACGGUUGUCAUCUGGGCUUCAUUCAGCACCGUACAUGUCUACAGAUAGGCUUCCAAAUCGCCAAGUCACCAGGUCCACCCCGACUUCAGCAGGUUUCGGGUCACCGCACACUGGCCUGCCCAACUGCCCCCGGGGGAUGGUCAGCGUAUCAGGUUCCUCGGGUCACUGUGACAGGGUGCUUGACAGAUAAGUAUAAGGGAAGAAAGGUUUCGGUGGACUCACAAUUUCAGAGGGAUUUUAUCCCACCGUGCUAAGGGACACGUGGUAGCAGAAGCAGCUCUGUUUAUAGAGGCUAGAGCGUGAGGUAGUGAUUGGAGUUCAGAAGACAGCAAGUGCGGGACUGAACCAGAAACAAGAAUAACUUUGACCGGCCUAAGAUCCCAGACAUUCUACAGUGUCCCUAAGCAACACAAGCAGCUGAGGGCACGUGUUCAGUCACAUGCUCCGGUGGGGGGGGGACAUGUCACAAUCACACCAGAACUGCCAGUGUCCCUUUUGGUUGCUGAAUAUUAAUUAGCUUUGUCCUCUUCCCACUGGCAGGUGCUACUCUUGACCCUGCAGGCUCUGUAGCCAGCGUCUCCUACGAAAGAGGAAGAGUCGAGUGGACACCAAUACAAGCAGUUCCACAGCACCUUCUCUCUCUUAGCAUCAGUGACUCCAGGACCCCGUGUGCCUGUUUCUGCAAGGCCAUGAAAUUCCAAAGAUUGUCUUUUCUGCCCUUUAAGCUAAAAGCAGCUUAAAAAUAAAAGAUUGCAUAAAACCAG